rnacentral:sRNA from 1 species
GCCGGGCGUGGUGGUGGGCGCCUGUGAUCCCAGCUACUCAGGAGGCUGAGGCAGGAGAAUCGCUUGAACCCGGGAGGCGGUGGUUGCAGUGAGCCGAGAUCGAGCCACUGCACUCCAACCUGGGUGACAGAGCGAGACUCCGUCUCAA